rnacentral:piRNA from 1 species
UGGCAACUUUCCUCGAUGUCCAGUGUCC